AUAUUUAUCAGAAUAAGGUAGAAGUGUAGGGGGUGGCAGGUGAGGUGCAGAAGGAGAAGAAGAAGAAGUUGUACCUAUCCAGUAAUUUUAUCUUGAUUUGUGGACUAGACGAAGACUAGAUUUUGAUGAAGAAAUCGACAAACUUGAACUGCAGGACUCGUGGCGCUGCUCGCCUCUUCGCCAAUGCGAAUGCGUUCUCUGAGGACAACCCGCCCAAGGCUACCAUGACGAAGCCACGCCACCGCGCCGGCUAUAGACUCACGGCCUGAAGCGAGUUUGGGCGCGACGGCUGGCGAGCCAAGGCGGCGGAAAGUCGUCUGGCGGAGCUCCCGUCUGAGGCGAGCUUGAUCUGGUCAGACAGCUCCGCCACCGAUGGUGUGCUAGAUGGAGGAGGAGGGGCCACCCCCCCCCCCCCCCCUGAACCGCGACAUCCGAGAGGUGCGUGUCGCGGCAGGCGCCCUCUGCUUUAGCACGCGCGGCGAGCUAUUCGCCCUAAGAGCGGUGUUGGAGGAGCUGGCCGGACGGAUGGUACCGGUCGAUAUGGGUCGACCGCCGUCUAUCCCAACGGUAGCGCCGAUCGACGUGGGCACUUUCUGCAAGGCAGGCGCGCGCGCGCGACAGGCGCGCCACGGCAGGCGCGCGCGCGGGAGGCCGACCGUGCAGUCGUUAUCGACAUCCGCCAGUACCUGCUCUGCAUCGGCCGCCUCCCGAGGCCGGAUGCCGACAAUGCAACGACGUGGAGUGCCCUGCUGCCCGAUGCCGCGUCUGCCGCGAAGAGGCUGGCACUCCACGGUAUGUGCUGCUGCGAUGCGCGGCGCUGGCGGUGUUGCGACAAAGAGCCUCGGCAGCUGAACUGCUUCAAGCGACGUAACGAUAUCUGCCCUCCCCUCCCCUAUCGAGACGCGUGGGUGUGGACGGACGGGUCGGCAGACGCGAGAACCUGCAGCGAAGGAGCUGGGGUCUACGGGGAGUAGCAGCACGAAUGGACUGAUGAGCCGCGUGUCCCGGCCGGUCCAUUCUGCUGUUCCAGCUCCAGGACCGGCCGCGCCGUCGCCACCCGUCCGGCGUCAGUGGAGGACCGCUCAUCAGCUGUCGAUUUUCAUCAGUUUCGUUUGGACCACUGGUCGGGCUCCUGCCAGUGCCGACAUUGGGUUGGGCGGAGUCCUACCGAUGAAUGCCGCGAGUGCUGCAACAUUGGCUCGGUACAUCUCGGUACAUUUUCCCGAGUCUGGUGUGGCUACGGGGAGACGGAUUUGGUGACCCUGGCUGCCGCCGUGAGAACCAUCCAGAACCGUACGGCUAUGCUGCGGCAGCGGCUGAAAGGAACGCAACAACAAUAAC